AAUCCUUUAACACCUUCACUACUUCAUGGCUGCGCUCACUCCAAGCAAACUGUAAACAAUGGCUUCUCUGAACUUAGCUUCAAUCUUUAGCUAUAGUUACAGGAGUUUUAGUGCACCAGUGACCCUCCUGCGCAAGCUAGCAUUCACCAGGGCUUAUUCUCUCAACAAGAAGGCUUUGGUUUGGUGUUCUCUGAGUAAAAGGAAGUUAAGCUGUGAAUCAUUGAAGCAAGAUAUUUCUUGCACAACUGCCGCUUCUUCUGUUAAUGGUUACCCGGAAUAUACUCGCUUGCUUCCAUGCCCCUCUCACAAUAGCCCACCAAGAAUUGAACACUUGGUUGUUUCAGAAGAAGGUCCUGUUCUAGACUAUAUCUGUAAAGCUCUGGAUCUGCCUCCUCUGUUUGUUGCAGAUCUUAUCCAUUUUGGAGCUGUACAUUAUGCCCUUGUAUGCCCACAGCCACCUCCAACAGCAACUCCUGAGCAGAUUAGGGUAUUUGAAGAAGUUACAGCACCAUCAGUUCUAAAGAAGAGAGCUUCUAUCAAAGGGAAAACAGUACGAGAAGCACAGAAAACUUUCCGGAUAACUCAUGUCGAUCAGUUUCUUGAAGCUGGAAUGUAUUUGCGUGUUCAUGUACACCCAAAACGCUUCCCUAGGUGCUAUGACAUUGAUUGGAAAUCAAGAAUUAUACAUGUGACUGAAUCUUUUGUUGUUUUGGACAAACCUGCUGGUACAUCGGUUGGAGGAACUACAGACAACAUAGAAGAAAGUUGUGCCACCUUCGCGACUCGUGCGCUGGGAUUGACAGCCCCAUUAAGGACUACCCAUCAGAUUGAUAACUGCACAGAAGGCUGUGUUGUGUUAGCCAGGACCAAGGAGGACUGCUCAGUUUUCCAUGGAAAAAUCAGAGAGAAAACGGUGAAGAAGCUUUAUAUUGCACUUGCUGCAUCUCCUGUGCCCAUUGGUGUAGUUAACCACUACAUGCGUCCUAUUAAUAUGGCUCCGAGACUUGUUUCAGAAGAAUUUAUAAAAGGUUGGCAUUUAUGUCAACUUGAGGUCAUGGAAUGCAAGAGAGUUCCUUGGCCAGAUGCUGUUAUGGAAGAGAAAUAUUGUGUUCAAGACUGUGGGUGGCCCUCAAAGGAUCAUCCAUAUGAGUGUAAAAUCAACCUUUUGACUGGCCGUACACAUCAGAUACGAGCUCAACUGGCUGCCCUCGGUGCACCUCUGGUGGGUGACUCAAUGUACAUGCCAGCUGCAGUUGCAGAAAUGGUCAGUCCGGGUUGUAAUCCAUUUGGAAAAUACAAAAAGCAAUACACUAGUGAGGAUGAUAAAGCAAUAGCUGUUGAAGAGUGGGUUUUAUGUCACGGAAAGGAACCAAACGUUGCAAUUGGUCUUCAGGCAUGCCAGAUUUCAUGGGAUGAUGGCAAGCACAUUUACAACGCUGGAUCUCCCUGGUGGAGAUGCAGAAUGGCUUAAAUAGGUACUGGAUGAUUGGGAUCAAUUACCAAGCUGAGUGUUCUUCAGCUGAGGUUUGAGGUCCAUCUACCAUCACUCUUUGAUCUAAAGGUAUCCCAUUGUCAGAAGGUGGGACUCAAUUUAAGAACCAUAAACUGUAGGCCUUGUGACAUGUUGUAAAGCAAAGGCAAAUAAAAUUCUGAAGGGAAGAUAUAACGUGGCUAGUGUUACAUGAUGUUUAUUAUUAUUAUACAGUACACUAAGAUCUGGGGAAAAGAAAUAGCAAUCAAAAGAGCUCCGUAUUUUUUUUUGAGACGAUCACAAUGUAAGACGAUCCCAAUGCUUCCACCUUAUGUUUUUUUUGAGAUUACCAACGUAGCUAGUGUACAAUUUUGUCCUAUUUUCCUUCUACUACUCACAGGUGAUAUCUGAACUGAGCUUUUAUCCGUAUGAUUACCAGAACUUGGUACUAUAGAUAUCGACUGCAGUUGCAUGUGAUAGGAUUAUGUUAUGUGUUGUUUCAAAUGCUGUGUCUUUGAGUCUCCGUAAGAACAAAUUUUCAAAGGGGCUCGAGCAAUGGUAUGUCGGGUGUUGACUUGUCCGGUACCCAAAUACGACUGGAAAAUUUCAGCUAAAUAAAUGUCAUUUAGAUUUAA